GCCUGCGUGGCGAAACGGUAACGCACCACUCUUCUAAAGUGGGGAUUGCGGGUUCGAGCCCCGCCGUGGGUU
rfam:Protomyces lactucaedebilis strain 12-1054 BCR37scaffold_11, whole genome shotgun sequence.